rnacentral:rRNA from 1 species
UCUAAGCACAUGCCUUAAUACGGUGAAGCCGCGAAUAGCUCAUUACAACAGCCAUCGUUUAUUAGAAUAUCGUUAUCCUACUUGGAUAACUGUGGCAAUUCUAGAGCUAAUACAUGCAAUAAAGCUCCGCCCGCAAGGAACGAGCGCAUUUAUUAGAAUAAAAACCAAUCGAGUUUCGGCUCGUAAUUUGGUGAAUCUGAAUAACUUUGCCAAUCGCACAGUCCUAGUACUGGCGAUGUAUCUUUCAAGUGUCUGCCUUAUCAACUUUCGAUGGUACGCUAUACGCCUACCAUGGUAGUAACGGGUAACGGAGAAUAAGGGUUCGACUCCGGAGAGGGAGCCUGAGAAACGGCUACCACAUCCAAGGAAGGCAGCAGGCGCGCAAAUUACCCACUUCCAGAACGGAGAGGUAGUGACGAAAAAUAACGAGACAGUCCUCUUCGAGGUCUGUCAUCGGAAUGGGUACAAUUUAAA